CAAGAAUAAAAUAUCAUUAUCAACUAAAGCGGUGCCAUAAAAUUCGUUAAAAUGAUAAAUAAAGCAACCCUUGUCCUUUCCUUUUAUUUUAAAAUCAUGUUCAAGUAAUAAAGAAACUGAAAUAAUAUUUUUAACAAUAUUAGGCAUAUAGUAACAAUCUUAUAAUUUUAAAAUUUUGUUUGAAGGCAACUUCAACAGCAAGGUGAAGAAAAAAAUCCAAUUC
rnacentral:lncRNA from 1 species